rnacentral:rRNA from 1 species
GUAGGGGGCAAGCGUUAUCCGGAUUUACUGGGUGUAAAGGGGGCGCAGACGGCUGUGCAAGCCAGGAGUGAAAGCCCGGGGCACAACCCCGGGACUGCUCUUGGAACUGCAUGGCUGGAGUGCAGGAGGGGCAGGCGGAAUUCCUGGUGUAGCGGUGAAAUGCGUAGAUAUCAGGAGGAACACCGGUGGCGAAGGCGGCCUGCUGGACUGCAACUGACGUUGAGGCCCGAAAGCGUGGGGAGCA